rnacentral:lncRNA from 1 species
AUUCCAGUUGCUUACCCAGUUGCUCUCAGACUCGUUAAUGUGAGUGGGAAACACAGUGAACUUGACUGAAUAUUAAACCACGAGCAAGAGCACAAAGCAGAGGAUGUGUCUGGUGAUGCAUCUGGCAUCACCCACAAGAAGAGAGAAACAAAGUUUUGCACAUCUUUUCCUUUCCCAAUUCCAAGAGCAACAGCUAGAUCUUCAUCUUCCACCUCAAAGAAAAUGAAGUCUAACGUACGACUCUGAUACAAUGGAGCACUUCAGCACUUAUUUUAAAGCCUCAGAUGAACUCCGAUGGAUCAUCAGCCAGUGAAAUCUCUGUAGAAGAAAAGUGUUUAAAUCCAGAACAGCAAUCCGGUGUUUCCAAAGUCACAGAGGAACCUAAUGAAGGAUGUAGUAGAAAACAGCACAUUAAUGUAUUUGGAGAUCACUCACAUGCAGGAACACAUCUUGAAUCUGUGUUGUUAUAUGUAUUAAUAGUACAUAACAUUACUGGAGUGAUAUUCAAUGUCUUUCACGUGGAGGUGGUGAUAAAGCUUGUGCCUUCCGUGUGUGUUCAGCAGUUAUCCAGUCAUCCCAAGAAAUCAGGCCUUGCUAAAGUUGUUCGGAAUUUAUGGGGUUGAUUGGUUUCCUAAUUUCCAAAAUUAGACUCUUCCUUAAAAAUGAUCAAUUUUGUCAAAUUUUUCAGUUGUCAAUAAAAGAUUAUUUUACCCUCCCA